rnacentral:rRNA from 1 species
UGGGGAAUAUUGCACAAAUGGGGGAAACCCGUGAUGCAGCGACGCCGCGUGAGCGAAGAAGUAUUUCGGUAUGUAAAGCUCUAUCAGCAGGGAAGAAAAUGACGGUACCUGACUAAGAAGCACCGGCUAAAUACGUGCCAGCAGCCGCGGUAAUACGUAUGGUGCAAGCGUUAUCCGGAUUUACUGGGUGUAAAGGGAGCGUAGACGGCUGUGUAAGUCUGAAGUGAAAGCCCGCGGCUCAACUGCGGGACUGCUUUGGAAACUAUGCAGCUAGAGUGUCGGAGAGGUAAGUGGAAUUCCCAGUGUAGCGGUGAAAUGCGUAGAUAUAAGGAAGAACACCAGUGGCGAAGGCGAUCUACUGGACAGUAACUGACGCUGAGGCGCGAGAGCGUGGGGAGCAAACAGGAUUAGAUACCCUGGUAGU